UACGUAGGGGGCGAGCGUUGUCCGGAUUUAUUGGGCGUAAAGCGCGGGCAGGCGGCCCCGUAAGUCGGCCGUGAAAGCGCCGGGCUCAACUCGGCGAGGACGGGCGAGACUGCAGGGCUGGAGAGAGGCAGAGGGCGGUGGAAUUCCGGGUGUAGUGGUGGAAUGCGUAGAGCUCCGGAGGAACACCAGUGGCGAAGGCGGCCGCCUGGGCCUUUUCUGACGCUGAGCCGCGAAAGCGUGGGGAGCGAGC
rnacentral:rRNA from 1 species